AUGGCUGCGAGCUCGGCGAGCUGCUCGGGGGACAUGGCCUUCUUGGCCUCCAGGACAUCCGCCAGCGCUUGGGCGGCAGCGGCGUCCCGCCGCGCAGCGCUGCCGGCAGCGGAAAAGAGGCCGGAGCCGUCGACCGAGCUGCUGUACCGGUGCUUGGGGCGCGGCGGGGAGGAGGUCUCGGCGGCGCGGUCGCGGUCGCGGUCGGGGCCGGAGGAGAUCUUCUCGAUGUCCAUGAAUGUGGAGAAGAGGUCGUCCUCGGAGCCGAUCUCGUCGAAGCCCGCGGAGCCGUCGCCGUCGGCGCCGCCGCCGAUGUCGAGGUCGUCCGGGAGGUGGAAGGCGACCUCAGAUCUGGCGCGGCGGUGGUGCGCCCCGCGCAUGGCCGUGGCCGCCGCCGCCAUCGACGGGGAAGGCGGCGGGAAGGGCCGGCCCGGCGGAUCGGCGGGUUUGGGCUGCUGCAUUGGGCGCUGGAGUGGCCGGGCAGGGCCAGGGAUUGGGGAAGGAGCUGUAGAUAGGGCGCGCAGGCGGCGGCGGCUGCUGCUGCUGCUGCGCCUGUGUGUUUUCCUGUAG
rnacentral:rRNA from 1 species